GAUGAACGCUGGCGGCGUGCCUAACACAUGCAAGUCGAACGGAAAGACACUGAGUUUGUGCUGUUCUGGGUGGCGGGUGGCGGGAGGGUCACGUGUGUAUCGGACUCUUCUCUUUCGGGGAGGUUCACGUAGCGAAGGUUACGAUCCUAUAGCAUAUGCUGUACCGGUGAGAGCAGGGGAUAGUCGGGGCUUUUGGGGUUGAAUUAGCCGAUGCUGGAUUUGCUAGUUGGGUGGGUAAUGGCCCAGCCAGGCGACGAUCCGUAGCCCGUGUGAGAGGAGGAUCGGCCACACGAGAACGGGACCACGGUCCAGACUCCUACGAGAGGCAGCAGUGGGGAAUGUGCGGCAAUGGGCGCAAGCCUGACACAGCCAGACCGCGUGGGUGAAGAAGGCCUUCGGAGCGUAAAGCCCUUUUAUUGGGAAAGAAAAGCAGUAGGUUAAUACCCCGCUGUACUGACGGUACCCAAUGAAGAAGCACCGGCUAACUACGUG
rnacentral:rRNA from 1 species